rnacentral:rRNA from 1 species
AGUGAACGCUGGCGGCAGGCCUAACACAUGCAAGUCGAACGGCAGCACAGUAAGAGCUUGCUCUUACGGGUGGCGAGUGGCGGACGGGAGAGGAAUAUAUCGGAAUCUACUUUUUCGUGGGGGAUAACGUAGGGAAACUUACGCUACUACCGCAUACGACCUACGGGUGAAAGCAGGGGAUCUUCGGACCUUGCGCGAUUGAAUGAGCCGAUGUCGGAUUAGCUAGUUGGCGGGGUAAAGGCCCACCAAGGCGACGAUCCGUAGCUGGUCUGAGAGGAUGAUCAGCCACACUGGAACUGAGACACGGUCCAGACUCCUACGGGAGGCAGCAGUGGGGAAUAUUGGACAAUGGGCGCAAGCCUGAUCCAGCCAUACCGCGUGUGUGAAGAAGGCCUUCGGGUUGUAAAGCCCUUUUGUUGGGAAAGAAAAGCAUCAGGUUAAUACCCCGCUGUUCUGACGGUACCCAAAGAAUAAGCACCGGCUAACUUCGUG